UACCAAGGCUUGACAUAGACAGGAAUAUGGCAGAAAUGUCAUAGCCGCAAGGUCUGUAUACAGGUGGUGCAUGGUUUGUCGUCAGCUCGUGUCGUGAGAUGUUGGGUUAAGUCCCGCAACGAGCGCAACCCUCGUUCUAUGUUGCCAGCGGUUCGGCCGGGGACUCAUAGGAGACUGCCGUGGUCAACACGGAGGAAGGUGGGGAUGACGUCAAAUCAUCAUGCCCCUUAUGUCUAGGGCUGCACGCGUGCUGCAAUGGCUGGUACAAAGGGCUGCGAUACCGCAAGGUGGAGCGAAUCCCAAAAAGCCAGUCUCAGUUCGGAUUGGGGUCUGCAACUCGACCCCAUGAAGUUGGAGUCGCUAGUAAUCGCAGAUCAGCAAUGCUGCGGUAAAUACGUUCCCGGGCCUUGUACACACCGCCCGUCACGUCACGAAAGUCGGUAACACCCGAAGCCGGUGGCCUAACCGUAAG
rnacentral:rRNA from 1 species